UUGAUGGUGCUUGCACCUGAUUGAUUUUGGUCGCCAACGAGUGGCGGACGGGUGAGUAACACGUAGGUAACCUGCCCAGAAGCGGGGGACAACAUUUGGAAACAGAUGCUAAUACCGCAUAACAACGUUGUUCGCAUGAACAACGCUUAAAAGAUGGCUUCUCGCUAUCACUUCUGGAUGGACCUGCGGUGCAUUAGCUUGUUGGUGGGGUAAUGGCCUACCAAGGCGAUGAUGCAUAGCCGAGUUGAGAGACUGAUCGGCCACAAUGGGACUGAGACACGGCCCAUACUCCUACGGGAGGCAGCAGUAGGGAAUCUUCCACAAUGGGCGCAAGCCUGAUGGAGCAACACCGCGUGAGUGAAGAAGGGUUUCGGCUCGUAAAGCUCUGUUGUUAAAGAAGAACACGUAUGAGAGUAACUGUUCAUACGUUGACGGUAUUUAACCAGAAAGUCACGGCUAACUACGUGCCAGCAGCCGCGGUAAUACGUAGGUGGCAAGCGUUAUCCGGAUUUAUUGGGCGUAAAGAGAGUGCAGGCGGUUUUCUAAGUCUGAUGUGAAAGCCUUCGGCUUAACCGGAGAAGUGCAUCGGAAACUGGAUAACUUGAGUGCAGAAGAGGGUAGUGGAACUCCAUGUGUAGCGGUGGAAUGCGUAGAUAUAUGGAAGAACACCAGUGGCGAAGGCGGCUACCUGGUCUGCAACUGACGCUGAGACUCGAAAGCAUGGGUAGCGAACA
rnacentral:rRNA from 2 species